GGUUUCGUGGUGUAGUGGUUAUCACGUCUGCUUUACACGCAGAAGGUCCCUGGUUCGAGCCCGGGCGGAACCU
rnacentral:tRNA from 1 species